AAUGGUCAAAUACUAGUCAAAACCUAAUCACGUAAAAUAAGCAGGUUAAAGUGAGAUUUAACGAGGUCAAUGGAUCCAAUUACGUGAGUUUAGAUAAAAAUAGAUCAGUAGCAGCACAAAAAUUUAAUUGAUGCAAUUUCAAAAUGAAACAGUAAUAUAAACCAACAAUAAAUAAAAGCAAGAACUUCCCUUUCGUUCGUCGAAGUAGUCAAGCCAGAUCAACCAGAAUAAAAGAUGUACCUGUAAAUAAUAGAAAAGACGUUUCUUCUCUUUUUUUUUUCUUUUUUUUUCGCUUUUUUUUUCACUUUUUUUUUCCUUUU
rnacentral:lncRNA from 1 species